GAUUGCUUGCUUCCUAGCCCUCUGAACUCGCAUGUGUAGUGUGGAGUUUGACGUGUAAACUUGCUAGAGAGUGUGGUCUCCAGCCCAGGGAGUGUCUAAGGACUUCGUGGUGGUUGUCUUUCAGGAAUGAACCUCAUAGGAAAUCAUCUGUCCCUCCUUCAAUGAUCAUGGCCUCCAUACGCAGGAGAGUUGACAGGAUUCUACUGGGUGACUCCACAGGCCACUAAGGGUUCCAAGAAACCUGAUAUUGCUGUGGUUCUUCUGUGUGGUCCUGCCCAUCUGAUCCACUGCUCUGCCCACUCUGCCUCCUCUCAUCCAUAGAAGGACCAGCCCUGCAUCCCCUAGGUUCCUGAGUCCUCUAAGUCAUUACUUGUAAUUUUUAUUGUGACCAAAGAGAUACUCUAGCAGGAGACAGGCAGUGGGAAGAGAAUAGUCACUCACCGCUGCUGCCCCCUACCCCUCCACCCCAGAGGUCCAGAUUCAGGUAAGUAUAGACAGAGCAGGCAAUUAUUCUCAUCCUCUGGCAACUUUGGGAACUUCUGAGAAGACAGCAGAGGCACCAUGUGGAUGUUCUUCCAAGAGAUGCUGGUGCCUUCCAGAGGCCAAACCUCUCUGAGUGUAGACUGUAGACAAAGCAGGGCUCCACCAUGGAAGGAUGGAUUAAGGCAUGAAAUAAAGUGAAAUCUUUUCAGGGUUGAA
rnacentral:lncRNA from 1 species